rnacentral:tRNA from 1 species
GCCGGGAUAGCAUAAAUGGAUAAUGCAGUUGAUUUGUAAUCAACAGACUGUCGGAUCAUACCCGACUUCUGGCA